UACAGAGGAUGCAAGCGUUAUCCGGAAUGAUUGGGCGUAAAGGGUUCGUAGGCGGUGCGGUAAGUCGGAAGUGAAAUCUCUGGGCUUAACUCAGAGGCUGCUUUCGAAACUGCCGUGCUAGAGUGCGGGAGAGGCGAGUGGAAUUGCAGGUGUAGCGGUGAAAUGCGUAGAUAUCUGCAGGAACACCCGUGGCGAAGGCGGCUCGCUGGACCGCAACUGACGCUGAGGAACGAAAGCUAGGGGAGCAAACAGG
rnacentral:rRNA from 1 species